UGGUUCCUCUUACCGAAUGAAUCUACCGGUGAUGGUGGCGAAGGGUUUUUUUAAACCCCUAAUCGACUUCCAAAAUUGUGAGUAAUCAAGGAAUACCUUCAGAGAUAUCGAAUGGAUUUGUAACUGAUGGAGAGAAAUUGAUAGAGAAAGGGACUGAAAUUAGGGAACUGCCGACGGUAGCGAUCAGAAUUCACGAAUCAAUCAAUCUUCUUCAACACUCCUAUUUCGACAUUAGAACAUCCAAAACUUAAUCGUGCUCCUUCUACAACAUUCAUCGACUCUCACUCAGGAUUUGAAGGUUAACGGUCACCAUGAAUUCGUCUGGAUUUUCUAAUCAAAUCGUGAUUAAUUCACAAACCCUAGGUUAUCUGUUGAUUUAUCUGAAUGAAUGUUAAUUAAUUCACGAGCUACGACUCUCACUGAAACAAGAAGAGCAAGGAAGAUGACAAGCCCAUAUCUGAUAUGUUUGUUUACUGAUUGCUGUGUCAGGAAAAGCGUUGCAGGACUCUAAUAUUCGCGAGAUGGUAUCUGGUGCACGCUCGUUUGCAACCAAACACUCCUUUUCUACUAAUAAAGGAAAAAAAAACAAAAAUAAGUUUAAAGACACGGCUGAAGAAGAAGGUUGAAGAGUCUCCGCCUUGGGUUCAGAUUUCACUCACUUUUGUAGAGCUUCCUGAAAAGAUUAUCAUUCUCAGAAGAUUGUUUCUGUUUACGUUUAUGGCGUUUUGGAGUGUGAUGAACUCUGCCAAGGGUGGUCCCGCAUUCCAGGUUUGAUGUUUUUUUUUCUUGUACUU